GUCUUUGUUUUUCCCUUUUAGGUGUGUGUAGCAGGCCUUAGGCAAAGAUUUGAAGUUUCCACAUCUCCAAAAGAAUCACUUGACCCUGGACUAGGAAGCGGGAUGCAUUUAACCUCUUCUGACCAGACACAGACUGUGCGGGUCGGCUCCAAGAAAAACAAAGCCCUAGAGAGAGAAAGUGCUGGAGAGAAUGUGUCUGAGAAGCAGAACGGGGCUUCAAGUCAUGUUGGUGAAGAGACGCAAGCUCCCAAACAUGGUAUCAACAGAACAUCCUGGGACAUGACACCUCCCACUACUAGUCCAACGUUGGAGGAAGACGAGGGCAUCCAGGUAGGGACCAAUUACAUAGCAUAAAUAUUCAAACUGCUGUGCGGAUGCCCACUGGCAUAAAGUCAGAUGGCUUGGCCCAAUGCUCCGGGGUCAGUGAGCAGAAAGGCUGAGCAUUGGAUCAGGUCCCUUGCUGUACACUUUGUUAUACACUUUGGGGAAACACUAAUGUUCAUGUUUUCUCUCUUACAAGUUCACAGGUUAGACUAACCCCAUUGUUUUCUAAACCAUCCAAAGACCCCAAACCUUAUUACUGCUCUGUUUGGGACAAGUUUCAGCAUUCUUAUAAUUCCUCUCCUGUCCAUCUGAAGCUGGGUUGCUGUUACUUUGGAAAUGGGAAAGGAACAUUUAUUAUCACUUUCACAAAACAUAGAAGUGGUUGGAAUUCAAUUGGAAACAAGUUCAUCGAGCCUCUCUCCUGAGGGCUGGCUGAAGGCUCCUCCCUGUGCUUGCUAAUCACAGGGACAUAUCCCCCCUGCUCACAUGGCUUGGCUUCUAGGUUCUAUUCUAGCACCUGGUGCUUUCAUCCAGGGUGACUCCUCUCCAUGCCUGGGACACAAGAGCUGCUGCCCCUUUGGAAAAUAACUUAUUCCAUGAUUCUGUUUACAAGGAUAUAACCCAGCACAUGAACAACAAAAUUCAUUCAUACAAGCUGCAUCGAAUGAAAUGCUGCACUCAAAAAGAACAAUGUGAUACAGAGGACAUUAUUGGGAAUUGCAAACAAAGGCUCUAGAGAAGGACGGGGUUAAGAUGAACUUAAACAUCAAGAAUAUAACAAAUUCCCCGCUUUCCUCCAUUGCCCCUUGCACACAACCCCCUGCUCCUGCUUGGCAGAUGGGAUGCUGAGGGACAAGUCCCGCAUGAGUGCUGAAGGCAUGUCAAGGUGGGCAGGCUUAUAUCAAAAGAAAUGGAUUCCCUUUUUUUCACCCCUGCCCUGGGUGAGACCGGGUCGUCUCCUGGCUCCAUGGUCUGGAGUUAUGUGGGGGUGUCAGCUGGCUCAUAAUUCAAAGUCCCCCUGUGUAUGGGGGAGUGGGACCUGAUUACAAACUCCCCAGGCCGUCUGCUCCUCUCCCCAUCCCAGCUCUAAACUUAAACAGCCCCAAAGUGAAAAACAGAACAAUCCCUUCGCCUCUGAGGCAGCCUGUCCCCUCCC